CACGUAGUUAGCCGGUGCUUCUUUACCCACUACCGUCACUCACGCUUCGUCACAGGCGAAAGCGGUUUACAACCCGAAGGCCGUCAUCCCGCACGCGGCGUUGCUGCAUCAGGCUUCCGCCCAUUGUGCAAUAUUCCCCACUGCUGCCUCCCGUAGGAGUCUGGGCCGUAUCUCAGUCCCAAUGUGGCCGGUCACCCUCUCAGGCCGGCUACCCGUCAAAGCCUUGGUAAGCCACUACCCCACAACAAGCUGAUAAGCCGCGAGUCCAUCCCCAACCGCCGAAACUUUCCAACCCCCACCAUGCAGCAGGAGCUCCUAUCCGGUAUUAGCCCCAGUUUCCUGAAGUUAUCCCAAAGUCAAGGGCAGGUUACUCACGUGUUACUCACCCGUUCGCCACUCGAGCACCCCACAAAAGCAGGGCCUUUCCGUUCGACUUGCAUGUGUUAAGCACGCCGCCAGCGUCGUCCUGACGCCAGGAUCAAACUCUA
rnacentral:rRNA from 1 species